GAGAGUUAAACAGUACGUGAAAUUGUUGAAAGGGAAACGAUUGAAGUCAGUCAUACCAACGGGAAAUCAACCUUUUGAGCUCGGUUUCGUGGGUUUUGAAGAGUUUCAAAGCCUUCGGAUUCGCGGGAUUGGGAUCUCUUGGCGUACUUUUUCGUACGGUUAGUCAACAUCGGUUUUGAAUGUCAUAAAAUGACUGGAGGAAUGUAGCUUCGAUCUCGUAUUGAAGUGUUAUAGCCUUUGGUAGAUGUGAUGUUUGAGACCGAGGAUUGCAACGGAUACCCUUCAGGGCUAUUCGUCUGAUCUCUGAUACGUUGCCUUGAUGUUGAAAGCUUGCUUAUGAUGUUAGGGUAUUACGGUCAAAAGGUUAGAACGAAUUACAUUCGUUAAGGAUGUUGACGUAAUGACUUUAAACGA
rnacentral:rRNA from 1 species